rnacentral:rRNA from 1 species
UACGGAGGGUGCAAGCGUUAAUCGGAAUUACUGGGCGUAAAGGGGGCGUAGGGGGUUUGGUAAGUUAUGUGUGAAAUCCCCGGGCUUAACCUGGGAGGGUCAGAUAAUACUGCCGAACUAGAGUAUGAGAGAGGGUGGUGGAAUUUCCGGUGUAGCGGUGAAAUGCGUAGAGAUCGGAAGGAACAUCAGUGGCGAAGGCGGCCACCUGGCUCAAUACUGACACUGCGGCGCGAAAGCGUGGGGAGCAAACAGG